GCCUUUGGGUUGUAAACCUCUUUUAUCAAGGAGGAAGUUCUGACGUGUACUUGAUGAAUAAGCAUCGGCUAACUCCGUGCCAGCAGCCGCGGUAAGACGGAGGAUGCAAGUGUUAUCCGGAAUCACUGGGCGUAAAGCGUCUGUAGGUGGUUUAAAAAGUCUGCUGUUAAAAAUUGAAGCUUAACUUCAAAGAUGCCGUAGAAACUUUUAAACUAGAGUAUGAUAGGGGUAGAGGGAAUUUCCAGUGGAGCGGUGAAAUGUGUAGAUAUUGGAAAGACCACCGAUGGCGAAGGCACUCUACUGGGCCAUUACUGACACUGAGAGACGAAAGCUAGGGGAGCAAAUGGGAUUAGAUACCCCAGUAGUCCUAGCUGUAAACGAUGGAUACUAGAUGUUGUGUGUAUUGACCCAUGCAGUAUCGUAGCUAACGCGUUAAGUAUCCCGCCUGGGAAGUAUGCUCGCAAGAGUGAAACUCAAAGGAAUUGACGGAA
rnacentral:rRNA from 1 species